rnacentral:pre_miRNA from 1 species
UCUGAGUCCCUUCGAUCGCCUCUGAUCACUACGAUGAAACUGAGAUAACGAGUUUUCACCGGGUGAACAGAAGCUGUUGAAGAUAUCGGAA